CACGUAGGGGGCGAGCGUUGUCCGGAUUUAUUGGGCGUAAAGAGCUCGUAGGCGGCUAAGUAAGUCGGGUGUGAAAACUCCAGGCUCAACCUGGAGACGCCACCCGAUACUGCUUUGGCUAGAGUCCGGUAGGGGAGCAUGGAAUUCCUGGUGUAGCGGUGAAAUGCGUAGAUAUCGAGAGGAACACCUGCGGCGAAGGCGGGUUGCUGGGCCGACACUGACGCUGAUGCGCGAAAGCCAGGGGAGCGAACGGA
rnacentral:rRNA from 1 species